AAAUACAAAAAGAAAAUUAGUAAAGCAAUAAACCAACGGAAAUAAAUCAUUGUUUAAUUAAUAGCUACUGUAAAAUGAAAGCUGAAAUAGCUCUAUGCGUGACAUCUGUCAGCCAUUGUUUCUGAGUGGCUGAACAGCAGCAGCCGCACCACGCAGGCUUUACACAUUUACCAGGCGGAAGAAAAAGUAGCUCCCAUUUAGGCAAGAGCUCAAUAAUUAUCGUCUGUAUUUCAGCGUCUGAGACUCUCGACAAGGAAAAUAAGAGCUUCAGCGUACCCUGAGAAGCAGUUGGCGUUGGUCAGCACGUCUCUCUCAGACACCAGCGUCCCUCCACACACGUGCUGGCCGUUCUUCUGUAAGCUGGCCAUCCACGGCCACUCACCGGCCGACGCCACAGACACUCCACCCGAAAUCCUAGAAGCCAGUGGGGCCUGUCCACAGACCACACCUGGAGGAGGAAGACACAGAUGGUCGUAUCCAACCUGCAACAGCAUGCAGGAGUCUGGCUUGCUUUCAUUUUUCACAGCAAAGAAUAACAUGCUCUCCAACAGUGUUACAGCGCCACCCAUUGGCCCGCCGGUCCUAUUACAUCAGUUUCUGUGGCGCUGCAUCCUGACCUCAAAUAAGACAAGAUUUAAAUCCCAGGAUCAGCAGUUUAGUGCUGCGGUGGAGUUCAGCCUCCAUCAUUUGGACAACAGACCAUAAAUAAAGACAUCAUGGCGUCCUGAAGU